UGGUUAUGGCUCAGUGGUAGAGCAUUUGCCUAGCACAUGUGAGACACUGGGUUCGGUUUUCAGCACCACAUAUAAAUAAAUGAAUAAAAUAAAGGUCUAUUAACUAGUUUUAAAAUAGUUAAAUAAUAAUAAUAACAAUGAUAAUAAUAAUAAAACAUUUAAAAUUUUUAAUUAAAAAAGGACUGGUAAAAUGCCCCUACGUUCAAUCCCCAGUACAA
rnacentral:tRNA from 1 species